rnacentral:rRNA from 1 species
AACGAACGCUGGCGGCAGGCUUAACACAUGCAAGUCGAACGCGUGCAGCAAUGCACGAGUGGCGCACGGGUGAGUAACGAGUGGAUAUCUGCCUUUUGGUUCGGAAUAACCCCGGGAAACUGGGGCUAAUACCGGAUGGUUCCUACGGGAUAAAGAUUUAUCGCCAAAAGAUGAGUCCGCGUCCGAUUAGCUAGUUGGUGAGGUAAUGGCUCACCAAGGCGACGAUCGGUAGCUGGUCUGAGAGGACGAUCAGCCACACUGGGACUGAGACACGGCCCAGACUCCUACGGGAGGCAGCAGUGGGGAAUAUUGGACAAUGGGGGCAACCCUGAUCCAGCCAUGCCGCGUGAGUGAUGAAGGCCUUCGGGUUGUAAAGCUCUUUUGGCGGGGACGAUGAUGACGGUACUCGCAGAAUAAGCCCCGGCUAACUUCGUG